AUUGAACGCUGGCGGCAUGCCUUACACAUACAAGUCGAACGGCAGCACGGGAGCAAUCCUGGUGGCGAGUGGCGAACGGGUGAGUAAUAUAUCGGAACGUGCCCGGUCGUGGGGAUAACGUAGCGAAAGCUACGCUAAUACCGCAUACGAUCUACGGAUGAAAGCGGGGGAUCGCAAGACCUCGCGCGAUUGGAGCGGCCGAUAUCAGAUUAGGUAGUUGGUGAGGUAAAGGCUCACCAAAGCCGACGAUCUGUAGCUGGUCUGACGAGGACGACCAGCCACACUGGGACUGAGACACGG
rnacentral:rRNA from 1 species